AAGAAGACAAAGCGGUAAUGAGAGAGAGACAGGGAACAAGCAGAGCAUGGAUUGAGUUUACUAAAACAUUAAACGACUCUGUUUUGUCUCUACCCAUGCACUGCCUCUUCCCUGGCUCCCUCUUUUUUUCUCUAUAUUUCUCUCUCUCCUUUCAUUUCAC
rnacentral:precursor_RNA from 1 species